CCCCUCGUGUCUUGUGUUGCAGCCAGUGGAACGGCCACCAAUUAACUUCGGCGACCGGGACGGCACGGGGCGUGGCACGGAAUCGGGCCCGGGGGGCGGCGCCAGCGGGAGCCCCAGCUGCAAACUCCACGCCGUUACCACCGGUGCUCCAAAGGCCAGCUCGCGACCGCGUCCUCACAAUAAUACCCGAAAGAGUUGUCGGAUGAAUGGCACUCAUGAAAAGCUCAAGAUUGGUUUUCUCCAUACAUACAAAAGAAGACAACUCUGACAGACCAUCUGCUCUGUGCUAUUAAUAUUCAUAAAGCGUUCUGCAGUUAAAGAUUUGUCCAAGCCGUUGGGGCAUAGUGUAAAUUGCAUUUUUCUGAGAAGAGCGAAGUUGUUUUCUCUCAGAUCUAGAAUGUAGCUCUGAGUUCAGCCGUAGCGGUUUGUGAUGCGAGCAGCGCAGGUUGGACUGGGAGUGUGGGGUUGUGUCGGUGGGAUCUGCAGGGUAUGUGCACAGAAUUUGACAUGUUAACACGACAGAAGAAUACCUGCUUCCUUCACUGGAGCUGCCGUUUGCAGCUAGACCUUCUGUUGCCCCGUAUAACCUCCUGUCGUGCUGCCAGCAUAAAUAAAAUGGUUCACCAUUCUGGAAAUGUUUCGCGGUUGUUUUAGGAGAGAGUAUUGUGCCAAAAAUCUGUCUUCAGACUCUCGCACAUGUCUGUUUGUCUACUUAUCUCCCCUUUUCAUUGCCUUGCAAAAACACUCAUUAUUAAAUGUGACUCUUUGUGUAAUUGGAAAGACAAACAUGCACAUGCAUGCAUUUAAAGCACCAUUCUUAUGCUUUAAAGUAUUCAUUUGCUGACUAAUGGAGAUUUUAUCAGUGCUAGUUAAUUGAAGUUAUGCACGCAGGCAUAUUAAGAUGGUGGUGUUUAUGCAUAUCAGAGAGUAGUUUCUCUUCAGCACCUCAUUAAAGUAAAUAAAUAAAGUUCAGUUAGUCUGAACGAUUCUUUAGUAGCUGUAAAAACCUCUCAGGGUUUAGGCCUCACCCACGAAACCAGGCGUGAAAUACCCCCUUCUCCCUGGGGGGGGGGGGGGUGAAAAUGCCUCAGUAUGAGAGCAGGGAAAGAUUUGAAAAAGGAGAGAAUAGGGAGGGAGGGAGGGAGGGUUUGGCUCCGAGGAGUCAUUUAUUAAAAUGGUGUCAGGCAGCUCUCCUGCACCAGCUGUGACUGUCGCCUGCCACCAACAGAUCUUUGCAGAAAAGACUGAAAAAGACACGCUCACAUAGGGAGCGCGUUCCGCCUAAUCAUCCACACCCUUGAAAAGACCCCCUCGUUCAUAUUUUAAAAGCGCAGCAGCGCUCUGGCACUCCGGUGUUAAGCUGCUCAGCCCUCGGUCCUGAAAAAUGUACAGCUGUGGGUUUUGUGGGUCGCCCUGGAAACGAUCCUGGCGGGGCUGACUCUCCUGCCUUGGCGACUUUGGCGCUGCACUCACUCUGCUAUGAGCGGCCCGCAGCAGCGGUGUUCGGAAAUGCGCGGAAAAUUGAGAAGGUACAGAAAGCUGCACAAUGUCAGCUUUGUGAAAAAAGUAUUUGUGGAAGUAUGUGAUCAAGUCCAAGUAAGAUUGUAAGUUUUGUAAGGGCUUUUGCAGGAGUGGAAACUAAUAUAUUUUAAAAUAUGAAGAAAUUUGUUUUAAAAAUGCUUCAUUAGCUUUUACCGAGUAAAGAUACAAAACCCCAUCCAUGCUAAUUCUCUUUAAAUGCAGCUAGAGACGCACAGGUUAUCCAAAUUACUUCAUUACUUUUACUAAGUGAAAUCCAUUCAGUUUAUUCAAAUUAAAUAUUUAUAAUAAGCUCUUUUGAAACAGAAAGGGUUUGUAAUCACAAGCAAUAAUCAUUUUCACGCACAAAAGUUAAGUCUGGACCAUACAAAACACUAUCAAAAAGUCCAAACAAAUUUUCUUUUUGAAGUUAGUAUUCUUUGCAAUAUAUUGUUAUCUGUUUCUUGGAAAAUGGCAUAAUAUUGCAUCACGCAUCCUACUCUACUGCAGAAAAUGACAUUAAAAUGAUGUAUGUCUUUUGUACAUGUACGGUAUGAACAUUUAACCAAAAAAUAAUUUAAACAUAUUAUUCACGACAUUUUAAAACAUUCUUUAUAUGUUUACAUAAAGCAGUGUGUAAUAUUUUUACCCAGUUUUUGCAUAAUUAUAGCCGGUGUGCUAAUGCUCACCACCAAUCAGCUCGCAAAGUCACUUUUAAAGUGCUGUAUGUAUGUUUGUUUUAGAACACCUCUGUUCAUAUUUGGUUAAAUUUCUUACACAUCCUGACCGAUAUCAAUAAAUUAAAAGUU